rnacentral:rRNA from 1 species
GUGGGUAAUACCGGGUACUCCGGGACGGCCGCAUGGCCGGCCCGGGAAAGCCCAGACGGGAGGGGAUGGGCCCGCGGCCUGUUAGCUAGUCGGCGGGGUAACGGCCCACCGAGGCGAUUAUGGGUAGCCGGGUUGAGAGACCGACCGGCCAGAUUGGGACUGAGACACGGCCCAGACUCCUACGGGAGGCAGCAGUGGGGAAUCUUGCGCAAUGGGCGGAAGCCUGACGCAGCGACGCCGCGUGCGGGACGAAGGCCUUCGGGUCGUAAACCGCUUUCAGCAGGGACGAGGCCCUCACGGUGACGGUACCUGCAGAAGAAGCCCCGGCUAACUACGUGCCAGCAGCCGCGGUAAUACGUAGGGGGCGAGCGUUAUCCGGAUUCAUUGGGCGUAAAGCGCGCGUAGGCGGCCUGUUAGGUCGGGGGUCAAAUACCGGGGCUCAACCCCGGUCCGCCCCCGAUACCGGCAGGCUUGAGUCUGGUAGGGGAAGGCGGAAUUCCCAGUGUAGCGGUGGAAUGCGCAGAUAUUGGGAAGAACACCGGCGGCGAAGGCGGCCUUCUGGGCCACGACUGACGCUGAGGCGCGAAAGCUAGGGGAGCGAACAGGAUUAGAUACCCUGGUAGUCCUAGCCGUAAACGA